rnacentral:rRNA from 1 species
UAGGGAAUCUUUCGCAAUGGACGCAAGUCUGACGGAGCAACGCCGCGUGAGUGAAGAAGGAUUUCGGUUCGUAAAACUCUGUUGUUAGAGAAGAACAGCGCAUAGAGUAACUGUUAUGCGUGUGACGGUAUCUAACCAGAAAGCCACGGCUAACUACGUGCCAGCAGCCGCGGUAAUACGUAGGUGGCAAGCGUUGUCCGGAUUUAUUGGGCGUAAAGCGAGCGCAGGCGGUCAAUUAAGUCUGAUGUGAAAGCCCCCGGCUCAACCGGGGAGGGUCAUUGGAAACUGGUUGACUGGAGUGCAGAAGAGGAGGGUGGAAUUCCAUGUGUGGCGGUGAAAUGCGUAGAUAUAUGGAGGAAAACCAGUGGCGAGGGCGACUCUCUGGUCUGUAACUGACGCUGGGGCUCGAAAGCGUGGGUAGCAAACAGG